UCAGUGCUGCAGUUAACGCAAUAAGUUCUCCGCCUGGGGAGUAUGCACGCAAGUGUGAAACUCAAAGGAAUUGACGGGGGCCCGCACAAGCGGUGGAGUAUGUGGUUUAAUUCGAAGCAACGCGAAGAACCUUACCAGGCCUUGACAUGGAUGCAAAGGCUCUAGAGAUAGAGAGAUAAUUAUGGAUCACACAGGUGGUGCAUGGUUGUCGUCAGCUCGUGUCGUGAGAUGUUGGGUUAAGUCCCGCAACGAGCGCAACCCUUGUCGCAUGUUACCAGCAUCAAGUUGGGGACUCAUGCGAGACUGCCGGUGACAAACCGGAGGAAGGUGGGGAUGACGUCAAAUCAUCAUGCCCCUUAUGGCCUGGGCUACACACGUACUACAAUGGCGACCACAAAGAGCAGCGACACAGUGAUGUGAAGCGAAUCUCAUAAAGGUCGUCUCAGUUCGGAUUGAAGUCUGCAACUCGACUUCAUGAAGUCGGAAUCGCUAGUAAUCGC
rnacentral:rRNA from 1 species